GAUCAGCGGCGGAGGGUGAGUAUGCCUAGGAAUCUGCCUGUAGUGGGGGAUAACUCCGGAAACGGGCGCUAAUACCGCAUACGUCCUAGGGAGAAGUGGGGGAUCUUCGGACCUCACGCUACAGAUGAGCCUAGGUCGGAUUAGCUAGUUGGUGGGGUAAGGCUACCAAGGCGACGAUCGUAACUGGUUGAG
rnacentral:rRNA from 1 species